rnacentral:rRNA from 1 species
GACGAACGCUGGCGGCGUGCCUAACACAUGCAAGUCGAACGGAGUCAUACGCUGGGCGGCCUUCGGGCCAAUCUUGUAUGACUUAGUGGCGGACGGGUGAGUAACGCGUGAGCAACCUGCCUUUCACAGGGGGAUAACACUGGGAAACCAGUGCUAAUACCGCAUAAUAUUGUUUUAUCGCAUGGUAAGACAAUCAAAGGAGCAAUCCGGUGAAAGAUGGGCUCGCGUCCGAUUAGCUAGAUGGUGAGGUAAAGGCUCACCAUGGCGACGAUCGGUAGCCGGACUGAGAGGUUGAACGGCCACAUUGGGACUGAGACACGGCCCAGACUCCUACGGGAGGCAGCAGUGGGGGAUAUUGCACAAUGGGCGCAAGCCUGAUGCAGCAACGCCGCGUGAGGGAAGAAGGUUUUCGGAUUGUAAACCUCUGUCUUUGGUGACGAAAAAAAUGACGGUAGCCAAGGAGGAAGCCACGGCUAACUACGUGCCAGCCGCCGCAGUA